rnacentral:rRNA from 1 species
AACGCUAGCUACAGGCUUAACACAUGCAAGUCGCGGGGUAACAUCUGGUAGAGCUUGCUCUUCCAGGAUGACGACCGGCGCACGGGUGAGUAACGCGUAUCCAACCUGGCCCAUACCACGGGAUAGCCCGUCGAAAGGCGGAUUAAUACCGUAUGCUGUCAUUAAGAUGCAUAUAUUGAUGACGAAAGGACUGGCGGUAUGGGAUGGGGAUGCGUCUGAUUAGCUUGUUGGCGGGGUAACGGCCCACCAAGGCGACGAUCAGUAGGGGUUCUGAGAGGAAGGUCCCCCACAUUGGAACUGAGACACGGUCCAAACUCCUACGGGAGGCAGCAGUGAGGAAUAUUGGUCAAUGGGCGCAAGCCUGAACCAGCCAAGUAGCGUGAGGGAAGACUGCCCUACGGGUUGUAAACCUCUUUUGUUUGGGAAUAAAGUGCGGGACGCGUCCCGCAUUGCAUGUACCAUUUGAAUAAGGACCGGCUAAUUCCGUGCCAGCAGCCGCGGUAAUACGGAAGGUCCGGGCGUUAUCCGGAUUUAUUGGGUUUAAAGGGAGCGCAGGCCGUGGGUUAAGCGUGUCGUGAAAUUCCGUCGCUCAACGGCGGACGUGCGGCGCGAACUGGUUUCCUUGAGUACGCACAAAGUGGGCGGAAUUCGUGGUGUAGCGGUGAAAUGCUUAGAUAUCACGAAGAACUCCGAUUG